rnacentral:rRNA from 1 species
GAUGAACGCUAGCGGGAGGCCUAACACAUGCAAGCCGAGCGGUAUUUGUCCUUCGGGACAGAGAGAGCGGCGUACGGGUGCGGAACACGUGUGCAACCUGCCUUUAUCUGGGGGAUAGCCUUUCGAAAGGAAGAUUAAUACCCCAUAAUAUAUCGAAUGGCAUCAUUCGAUAUUGAAAACUCCGGUGGAUAGGGAUGGGCACGCGCAAGAUUAGAUAGUUGGUGAGGUAACGGCUCACCAAGUCAGUGAUCUUUAGGGGGCCUGAGAGGGUGAUCCCCCACACUGGUACUGAGACACGGACCAGACUCCUACGGGAGGCAGCAGUGAGGAAUAUUGGACAAUGGGUGAGAGCCUGAUCCAGCCAUCCCGCGUGAAGGACUAAGGCCCUAUGGGUUGUAAACUUCUUUUAUACUGGGAUAAACCUACUUACGUGUAAGUAGCUGAAGGUACAGUAUGAAUAAGCACCGGCUAACUCCGUG